rnacentral:rRNA from 1 species
UACGAAGGGGGCUAGCGUUGCUCGGAAUCACUGGGCGUAAAGGGUGCGUAGGCGGGUCUUUUAAGUCAGGGGUGAAAUCCUGGAGCUCAACUCCAGAACUGCCUUUGAUACUGAAGAUCUUGAGUUCGGGAGAGGUGAGUGGAACUGCGAGUGUAGAGGUGAAAUUCGUAGAUAUUCGCAAGAACACCAGUGGCGAAGGCGGCUCACUGGCCCGAUACUGACGCUGGAGGCACGAAAGCGUGGGGAGCAAACAGGG